CAGCCCUCACCCCCUUCCUUAUCUCCCUCAAUCGUCAGACGUUGCUCUCAACCCUCACCCUCUUCCUUAUCGUCCUCAAUCGUCACACGUUGCCCUCAGCACUUACCCCCUUCCCUGUCACCCUCAACUUGAUUAUAGGAACAUCAGUUUGGUUCUGUGGUGGAAGGUUGGUUUUCUACAUAACAUUAUAAGCUAGGCUUUGAAGAAAUCCUUAAGAGGAGCUGCUGGAAUUGGGUUUACACUACGGUGAAAGCUGACAAGUUAUGUCUGUAGAAGAGUCAUCUGUUCCACUUACCGUAAAUAGUGCCAUAACUGAAAGUAAUGAAGUUAAUCUUGAGAUCAACAAGGAAAUUAUCA